rnacentral:sRNA from 12 species
GGCUUCAACAACCCCGCAGGUCGGGCGUGCAGUUUACGCAGUGGACCUGCUGGAGCC